rnacentral:rRNA from 1 species
CCUACGGGAGGCAGCAGUCGAGAAUCAUUCACAAUGGGGGAAACCCUGAUGGUGCGACGCCGCGUGGGGGAAUGAAGGUCUUCGGAUUGUAAACCCCUGUCAUGUGGGAGCAAAUUAAAAAGAUAGUACCACAAGAGGAAGAGACGGAUAACUCUGGUCCGGCAGCCGCGGUAAUACAGCGGUCUCAAGCGUUGUGGGGCAUCACGGGGCGUAAAGCGUGCGUAGGCUGGUUCGUAAGGCGUGUGUGAAAGGCGGGGGCUCAACCCGCGGACGGCACAUGAGACUGCGAGACUAGAGUAAGGGAGGGGGAAGCGGAAUGCGCGGUGUAGCAGUGAAAUGCGUAGAUAUCGAGAGGAACACUCGUGGCGAAGGCGGGUUCCUGGACAUUAACUGACGCUGAGGCACGAAGGCCAGGGGAGCGAAAGGGAUUAGAUACCCUGGUAGUC